rnacentral:lncRNA from 12 species
CUUUAUACACACACACACACACACACAUAUAUAUAUUUGUAUAUAUACAUAUAUAAUUAUAUAAUAUAUACAUAUAAUACAUAUAAUUAUUAUAUUAAUAUAUGGUUAUAUUAUAUAUUUGAUGUCAUAAAAAUAAAUUUAAAUCAAUAAUCAAUUACUUCUCAUUCAUCUGUAUACUGGCUGAGCCAGUCUUUGCUCCAGGCUUUAGGUCAAGUUCAAAUUUGUUCCUUUUACUUCUAAUUCCAGGUUCCAAGAUGAAGAUUCACUAGCUUCACUAGCUAGCUUAUCAUAAUCUUCUCAGAUGGAUGGAAGGAGACCAAGAAAUCAAGCUGAAAUACAUAGCAUAUGUACUGGAUUCCUUUAAGAAUCAAGCCAAUAAGAAGCUUAUUUGGGAAAAUAUCACCCAUUGCCUUAAAAAAUAGUAAGCCAAGAGUGUCAUGAAAAUCCACAAACAGAUGAGGCAAGAGAUUGAGGAUACAUCCAUUAUCAAUCUUUUAUAAAUGUAAGUCAUUAUUUUCUCUAUUAGAACCAAGGUCUUAUGCCAAUUCAUUUGAGUAUGGUGAAGACCCAUGACUGUAUUUACCAACUAUAGACUAUACAAGGUCUUAAACUUUUAAAUCAACUCUAAAAUUAAGGACAAUUUUUCACGUUCUCCUGGAUUUCUCGAUUUGACUAUAUAACAGUAAAGAUCAAUGUUUAUGAAUUGUACCAUCC